AGCGAACGCUGGCGGCAGGCCUAACACAUGCAAGUCGAGCGCCCAGCAAUGGGAGCGGCAGACGGGUGAGUAACGCGUGGGGAUCUGCCCAAUGGUACGGAAUAACCCAGGGAAACUUGGAUUAAUACCGUAUGUGCCCUUCGGGGGAAAGAUUUAUCGCCAUUGGAUGAACCCGCGUCGGAUUAGCUAGUUGGUGAGGUAAAGGCUCACCAAGGCGACGAUCCGUAGCUGGUCUGAGAGGAGGAUCAGCCACACUGGGACUGAGACACGGCCCAGACUCCUACGGGAGGCAGCAGUGGGGAAUAUUGGACAAUGGGCGCAAGCCUGAUCCAGCCAUGCCGCGUGAGUGAUGAAGGCCUUAGGGUUGUAAAGCUCUUUCGCCGGUGAAGAUAAUGACGGUAUCCGGAGAAGAAGCCCCGGCUAACUUCGUGCCAGCAGCCGCAGUAACAC
rnacentral:rRNA from 1 species